rnacentral:lncRNA from 1 species
CGACUGCUAGCCUGCUCAUAAAAGGCGAUUAAUUCAUGAAGGAAAAAUGGUAGUUUAUUGUUGUUCUGAUUUAAAAAAGCGGACACAUCAUGAGAUCCUGCCUGUGAGAACAAGGGAGCAUAUUUCCUGCGGAGAGAGACCACCUGGGGAUGUGUGCAAUGAAAGAGGACGUGUUGUUCAUCCUGGACAUUAUCAUCAGCCUCACAAGGGUUACACUUUGGGGAAGACCUGUGAUUCCAAGUUGCUGUCUCAUAGCGAAGGGUGUGAACACGAAGUCUAAAUCAAGCCACGUUG